UCCUGGUUUUCCAUGCAAUAUUUAAGGGGAUCUAAGAUACAGCUGGCAUCCAUCCACUGCAAACAAACAGCCGUGCGAGAGCUGAGCUGUCAGUGAGCGCCGAUGAAAUUCCUAUGAAAACGAGGGAGAAAAACAUGGCUUUCAACGUGAAAUUUAUCACUUUAGGGUUCUCCUUUUGCUUUAAAGGGUCUGCAAGGGCAAAUCUGAGACCUUCCAGCCUCUUUGCUCAGAGUCACCACGGACAGGGACACACUGGAAGGGUGAUUAUUGAGUUAGUGAUGCUGGUUUUUGAAUUUUUGUUGGUUUUUUGGAGAGGCAAAGGAAGAGAGAAGCAAACAGACACGAGUGAAGAAAAGGGCAGGGAGAAAAAAGGUAAAAAUAUCAUUUGCCGUCGACUUUGGCUUAGUUGCUGAAAAAUGUCAAGGCUCCAACCUGCUCCUGUUUGAGAUUUGAAGGGAAUGCUUUGGCACAGGGCUGGCAGCAGCGAGUUUACCACGGGAUCUGCGCCAGACACUUUUCGGGAUGAGAUGACAGGAGCAAGAGAGGGAGAGGAUGUGGGAGGAAGAAGUGCCCUCCACCAGGGGCUGGCAGAGGGGCCAGCUGGGCCACCCGGGGCCGUUUGUCACCCCAGCAAUGCAGGGGUGACACCCUCGACCCAGACUGCUCCCUCUCAGAAUUCCCAGCUCCUGAUCCAUGUCUGCAUGGAGAACUCCUCCUCCUUCUCUCUUCAGUGACUCACCCAGAGUGGAGGAGAAAAAAAGCACUUUAUUCCUCAACAUUGUUAUUUUGGGGCUGGGGAAAACAGAUUGUUCACGAGGCAACAAGAGAACAACUUGCCAGACACAUGGAGAGGUCACGAUGGCCCUGAUUCAUCUCCCGAUCCUGGCAGGAAUCUCGAGCCGUUUUGGAUGUCUUUAUCCUGGCAGUGACUCACAUCAACUGCUCCAGAGCACCUUUCCAGAGCCUCCCCACUCCUCCGGGCUGGGAAUCAUUUGCUUGAGGAAUAAGUGAUCAGAAACAGAGGAAUUCAGUUCUCAUCUGCCAUAGUCAAGACAGAGAGAGAAGCCGAGCCAUAAAUCUCAGAGUCCAUAAAAAAUUCCAGCAUAUUCACGGAAGUGCUGCGGAGCAGACUCCAGGAUGCAGGAUUGGAGAGAGAGCAGCAAAUACCUCCCCAGGAAUUCAUGGGAGCUGACAUAGGUGUUGUUCCAUCACAAUCCAGACAAGAUUUUUGCCUGGAGAAGGGAUAGAGGUGAAUCCACCGCAGGAAAUCGGUAACUGUGAGCCUGUACCAAUUCUGCAGAACUAAAACCUUUGGUUUUUUCAGGAAUUUAAAAGGUGCUAGGAAUGGUGUUAGCUGCUCCACUCCCACAUAAGCAACAAGCAUGGAAAGGCAUCUGCUGCUUUUUUGUUGGAUCCAGUCUCACAAUUCCUUGUGCUGAAAGGAAACAAAACACAACAUGUCUGGAUUUUGGGAAGCACUGAAGGAAAAGCAGCAGGAAAUGCAGGGUGGGAAAUGCAGUCUCCAGGCUGGGAUGGAGCAGUUGAUGUCUCCCAGCCCCCCGGGGUGGACAAUUCUCUGUCCCUGCUGUGGCUUUGUCACUGCCAGCCAGGUUUUUGUGCCGCCACCGAGGCCGAGCUGGAGCUCCAAUAAUGAAUAGGUGCCUUUCAGUGGAGUUCAUUGAUUUGGGACAGACGGAGCCUCAUAGCCCUGAUGGAUGGCUGGAGUAGCCACAGGCACUGCAGGCUGGCUGGGAAGGCUGGGAUUCGUGUGGAUUUAUUUUCCUGACACUCCGGAGUGGGAGUGGAUGGUGUGCCCCAGCUCCUGCCACACCCUCGGCCUCACACACCCCAUUGCAGAGGCAGGGAGGGAAAGCCAUGCAUUCUCCACAUUAAACAGGAGUGUCUGCACAGCUGGGUUCUUGGGAGGGGGAGGGAUGGGUGUCCCUGGGUGCCACCACGGUGGGUGAUGUAUCCACACUCCUCAGCCAAGGGAUUCUCCAGCAAUGAGGAAUUCAGUGAAAAUAUCACAACACCUAUGGCUUGAUCCUGAUGGUGAUGGGGUUAUCAGACCACUGCUGGGGUGGGCAGACCAUUGAUGGGGAUGUCAGAGCAUUGGUGGGGUGGUCAGACCACUGAUGGCAUGGUCAGACCAUCAGUGGGGCUGUCAUACCGUGGAUGGAGCUGUCACACCAUGGAUGGAGCUGUCACACCAUGGAUGGGGCUGUCACACCAUGGACAGGGCUGUC